AAAUAAAUUAGUGGACAGUGGUGCGUCAAUAGAUAUUGUUUAUACGGACUUCCAGAAGGUAUUUGAAAAACAACUCAAACAGUUAGCUGGCUAAAUAUAUCAAAUAUUUUGGGCAGGAUUUUCCAGAGAUGGCAAGAACAAUGGCAGACACACCAGAGCUUCAUCCCCUUCAUUGUCUUCAAGCCACUUUUUGGAAAUAAACUUUAAGUAGGUCAACAACUGAAA